UCCCACUGUAGAGGUUUCUGUGUGUUUUUUUCUUUUAUUUCUUUCUUUCUUUCCUCCCUUUCUCUUUUUAAAGGAUCCCACAACAAGGAAGAACAGUCAUGGCUGAGAAAGGACCAUUGCAGCUUCUGGAUCACAUAAGGCAUGGAGAGAGGCCAAUCCUGAAUGAAGGGUGCUUUCAAUGAACACCAAGGGAGGGAAGAGAGAUGUCUGCAGGAGGAAGAAGAGUAGGGACUGAAUAGCCCAUUAACACUGAUGAACAUUUUCCCAAACAAAGUCUACCCAGUGAGAGAGAGGAGACUCCAACUGGCUGCAAGGAAAGAAAAGGAAGGAAGCUUCUUUGGGCAGAGGAAGUUUAUUAUUCUGCGAGACGAAAUCGACAAAGAAAACUGAAGAAACCACAGAUAAUAGGUGAGAUGAGGACAAGUUUGUCAAAUGUAUGGGAAAAUCCAGCCAUAGUCCUAUUGCCAGAUAUUACUUAAGGGGCUUGAAAAUGGUGCCCUCAUUUUCAUAGAAGAGGAGAGAACUAGAAAAAUAUAGAUGCCCACUGAUUGGAAAAUGGCCAAACAAGAUGUGGCACAUUGAACAACAAUAAAGCUGAACUGUUCUUUUUUUUCCCCCUCUUUCUUUCCACUUUUUUAUGUCAGGGGUAGGUGGAAAUGAUGUCACCCCAUUCAGAUAUAUUUAUAAGUUAACUUGAUGCAUUACUUGUUGUGAGUAAGGCCUGGCAUAGAUACACCAGGAAGUCUUUUCUAAUAAACUGAGAGCUAGUGGGAACUGGGAGACUUCAAGCAUGCCAUGAGGGAACGGGAACAUCAGGAGCUGAACCUCACUGGAAACGAGAAAAAGGGUGAAAAAAGGGGGUCUAGGAAGGACUUUGGUCCUUCCUAGGCUUUUCUAGCAGAAAACAAAGGCUGACGCCAUCAGUCAUCCUGCCCCUCUCAUGGACCCAGAGAAGUUCUAAGAAAAGAUCUACUCUUUCCCUUAUUUCUCCUCU